rnacentral:rRNA from 1 species
GUUAGGAAUAUUGGACAAUGGGCGCAAGCCUGAUCCAGCCAUGCCGCGUGAGUGAUGAAGGCCUUCGGGUUGUAAAGCUCUUUAGCCGAUGAUUAUAAUGACUGUAGUCGGAAAAUAAGCCCCGGCUAACUUCGUGCCAGCAGCCGCGGUAAUACGAAGGGGGCGAGCGUUAUUCGGAAUCACUGGGCGUAAAGCGUGCGUAGGCGGCUUUGGAAGUUGGGAGUGAAAGCCCAGGGCUCAACCCUGGAAUUGCUCUCAAAACUGCAAGGCUCGAAUUCGGGAGAGGAUAGCGGAAUUGUCAGUGUAGCAGUGAAAUGCGUAGAUAUUGACAGGAACACCAGUGGCGUAAGCGGCAAUCUGGACCGAUAUUGACGCUGAGGCACGAAAGCGUGGGGAUCAAACAGGAUUAGAUACCCGGGUAGUCC